UCUGGCGCCUUCGGUGUCCGAGUUGUAAUUUGAAGAUUGUAACCUUGGGGUUGGCUCUUGUCUAUGUUUCUUGGAACAGGACGUCACAGAGGGUGAGAAUCCCGUGCGAUGAGAUGCCCAAUUCUAUGUAAGGUGCUUUCGAAGAGUCGAGUUGUUUGGGAAUGCAGCUCUAAGUGGGUGGUAAAUUCCAUCUAAAGCUAAAUAUUGGCGAGAGACCGAUAGCGAACAAGUACAGUGAUGGAAAGAUGAAAAGAACUUUGAAAAGAGAGUGAAAAAGUACGUGAAAUUGUUGAAAGGGAAGGGUUUGAGAUCAGACUCGAUAUUUUGUGAGCCUUGCCUUCGUGGCGGGGUGACCCGCAGCUUAUCGGGCCAGCAUCGGUUUGGGCGGUAGGAUAAUGGCGUAGGAAUGUGACUUUACUUCGGUGAAGUGUUAUAGCCUGCGUUGAUGCUGCCUGCCUAGACCGAGGACUGCGAUUUUAUCAAGGAUGCUGGCAUAAUGAUCCCAAACCGCCCGUCUUG
rnacentral:rRNA from 1 species